rnacentral:rRNA from 1 species
UGGGGAAUAUUGCACAAUGGAGGAAACUCUGAUGCAGCGACGCCGCGUGAGUGAAGAAGUAAUUCGUUAUGUAAAGCUCUAUCAGCAGGGAAGAUAGUGACGGUACCCAACAAGGAAGUGACGGCUAACUACGUGCCAGCAGCCGCGGUAAAACGUAGGUCACAAGCGUUGUCCGGAAUUACUGGGUGUAAAGGGAGCGCAGGCGGGAAGACAAGUUGGAAGUGAAAUCUAUGGGCUCAACCCAUAAACUGCUUUCAAAACUGUUUUUCUUGAGUAGUGCAGAGGUAGGCGGAAUUCCCGGUGUAGCGGUGGAAUGCGUAGAUAUCGGGAGGAACACCAGUGGCGAAGGCGGCCUACUGGGCACCAACUGACGCUGAGGCUCGAAAGCAUGGGUAGCAAACAGGAUUAGAUACCCUGGUAGUCCAUGCCGUAAACGAUGAUUACUAGGUGUUGGAGGAUUGACCCCUUCAGUGCCGCAGUUAACACAAUAAGUAAUCCACCUGGGGAGUACGACCGCAAGGUUGAAACUCAAAGGAAUUGACGGGGGCCCGCACAAGCAGUGGAGUAUGUGGUUUAAUUCGAAGCAACGCGAAGAACCUUACCAGGUCUUGACAUCCGAUGCAUAGCUUAGAGAUAAGUGAAGUCCUUCGGGACAUCGAGACAGGUGGUGCAUGGUUGUCGUCAGCUCGUGUCGUGAGAUGUUGGGUUAAGUCCCGCAACGAGCGCAACCCUUAUUGCCAGUUACUACGCAAGAGGACUCUGGCGAGACUGCCGUUGACAAAACGGAGGAAGGUGGGGAUGACGUCAAAUCAUCAUGCCCUUUAUGACCUGGGCUACACACGUACUACAAUGGCGUUUAACAAAGAGAAGCAAGACCGCGAGGUGGAGCAAAACUCAAAAACAACGUCUCAGUUCAGAUUGCAGGCUGCAACUCGCCUGCAUGAAGUCGGAAUUGCUAGUAAUCGCGGAUCAGCAUGCCGCGGUGAAUACGUUCCC